rnacentral:lncRNA from 1 species
GGGCAGCCGCCGGCGGCGAGGUCCGGGUGAGAAUUGAGCUACGUAUAUACGUACGUAUACGGUAUACCAAGUUUGGUCGCGUGGAUGGGUACUGGUUAUAAAAAUGUGAUUUCAGAAAUAAUCACGUUGUUUUCUGCAACAAAUUGUAAUUAAGGUGUCUUUCCGUAUCUGCAUGUGCUUGCUCCGAACAAUAAUUAGUAGAUUAAUUCGACAAGAUUAUUAGGUUGCUGACUAACAAUAUUUUUACUGCUGUUGUUACCGGUCAAAUUUGUGUGUGUGUGUGUGUUGAGAAAUGUUAUUGGUGAUCAAUUUGGCAGCUCAUGGUAUCAUUCUGCUCCCUGUGUGUGUUACACGUUUACCCCCUUGAGAUCUAAG